rnacentral:rRNA from 1 species
UACGGGGGGAGCGAACGUUGUUCGGAAUCACUGGGCGUAAAGGGUGCGUAGGCGGCGCGGUAAGUCGGGUGUGAAAUCUCGGAGCUUAACUCCGAAACUGCAUUCGAUACUGCCGUGCUUGAGGACUGGAGAGGAGACUGGAAUUUACGGUGUAGCGGUGAAAUGCGUAGAUAUCGUAAGGAAGACCAGUGGCGAAGGCGGGUCUCUGGACAGUUCCUGACGCUGAGGCACGAAGGUCAGGGGAGCAAACGGG